GCCGGAGAAGAGUGGCGAAACUGACGAGGGAGCCGGCAGGAGCCCCGAGGAGGAGCCCAGAGAGAGGGCCAGCUGGAACCACCGGUGAGGAAAAAGCAGCAAGUGAGUCUGUGUGCUGUGAAUGAGGUGAAGCUUUAGGAAUGCGGAAGAUGGUAUAACAUAAUUGGAAUGUGAAAGAACAACACAUAAUUGGUAACAGAAUCUGAGAUGAAUGUAUGUGAAAAGGUGAAUGGUGAUUGGUGAAGAAGCUUCCAGGUUUUGGUCAAAGUCCACCCAUUGACUGAAGAAGUAAGUUCAAGGCCUUGGACAUGCACUCAUAGGAAAAAAGCAAGUAAAUGAAUGAAAUGUAUGGGCAAUUCCAUGUUAAUGAAGCAAAUAAUAAACAGAGGCAGAGCUUGAAAUAGGAGAUAUGGGUGGAACAUAGGAUGAGCAAGGGUAGAAUGAAUGGUAAUGAGCAUAAACCAAAAAUGUAUAAACUGUGUAGAAAACUUUGUUCAAUGCAGGUCCCCUGGUUCACGGGCUGUGUGUCUGGGGGAUGCUUGUCUGAAGCUGUCUCCAUUUUGAAUAAAGCUCUUGCUAGCAAUGUG